GGAGGAUACAGCUCAAUGGAAGAGUGCAUGCUCAGCAUGCAUAAGAUUCUGGGUUCAAUCCCCAGUACCUCUG
rnacentral:tRNA from 1 species